UGACUGGGCUGUCCAGGACCAGCUCUGCCUUCAGCAGCGAGGGAGCGAGCGUGCCCUGCCUUCCGAACGGUUCUCUUAGCCACCAGGAAGCUUGGUUAUUCAUCAGCAUAUAACACAAACCACUGUAUGGAAGCCAGCCUGAAUCACACUGAGUCUCCAAGUACCUCCAAACAUCUGAGAAUGAACAGAAUGUGGAUUACAUGCCAUAAGCUGAUUGUUUUAUUCUCCCAUACUCAAAGACACAGUGACACCUCCUGCAGUCCAAGCCUGAAUAAAGCCCUGUAUGGCUGCACAGGAAUGUUUUACUGGUGUUCAUUGGAUAAAACUGAAAAUCAGAAGCCCUAUAAUAGGUUACUCUAGCUAUGGCAGUGGCAGUAAUUUUGGUAAGCUGCAUGGCACCAAGAAGGAGAAGAGUGAAGAAGAUCCUGGGAUCCUGGAAAGAAAGGCAGGGACUGUCUUUAUUUGUGUGUAUCAUCAAUGCAAAGCAUUUUAAUAAUAAAUAAAAUAAAUAAAAUAAUAGUUAAUAAUAGAGAGUUUUGGAGCAUGUUGCAUGAGAUCAUCUUCCAAUCAGCUCAGCAGCUGUCUGGUAUUGAACUAGUACUGUUUUUGGCUUUGCACAGUGUGCAGACUAUUCCCCUUUUCCUAGA